rnacentral:lncRNA from 1 species
AUGGAUGCAAAGUCAUGGUGUUACGAUGGCAUUAUGGUGGUGGCAACUGAUGUUAUCAUUUUGUUUCUUGAUCUCAACACAGCAGUUUAUUUUUUCUCUCCAUUGUCUUCGGUCAACCCAUUGACUUUAGCAUGCCACCUUGAACACCCAUUUCUUAUGCUGAUGCACUUAACACGAUUGUCAGUUCAUCGUAUAAAAAAAACAUGACAACUUUUUUUUUUUUUUUUUGAAUGAACUAUCUUGAGGGGGAAUCCAGGUCAGGAUCCAAGAUGUGAUGGACUGAUCCGCUACUUUCUAUUUAUUGCAUUAUUUAUACCUUAGCUAAGUACGCCAGUGUGAUAGCAGCUUCAUGAAUGAGAUGGUUCUAAAUUAGAUAUAUGGAGGUUAGCAGCUAGGGGUGAGGUUUGGAGGACCGUUGGCAGAAUGUAAGCUAGCUGGCUAUGUACACCCCCACCACAAGGACAAAACAGCCUCUUUGCGUUGUGCUUCUGCUUCAUCGCAUUUUCCACCAGUGCAACACAUUUGAAUAAUGUGCAUAAUGGACACGUCCCACACCCCCACAGACUGAGAGAAGAGCACGAGCGGGCACGAGCGGGCAACGAGCGGGCAGGAGAGGGCAACGGCACCUUCUGGUAGUUCACUCGUGGUGAUAUCUCUUCUGGUCUGCCUGAGGCCAUCUCACAUGAAAUAGAGAGACAGACACACACACACACACACACACAAACGUGGGUCAGUAUCUCUGGGCGGCACCACAGUCUCUCCGCGGAAUGUGUUUCAUUGUGCCCGGCAGUGCAAAUGAAAGUCAAUUGCACCGCGGCUUUCAGGCAAAUGUGCUUAAGAUAAAUUGCAACUCGUUGCGCGCAAAUGGUUAUUAAAUACACUGAAGAGUGGAGGACUGUGGCGUGUUCAUCAGUGGGAGAGAAUUACUCCCCGGCACGGCAGACUGACCCGUAGUUGACCCUGGAGGCUUCUGCCCUAUUGUUGCAGUGUUUUUAUGUUGCCUGUUUUAUUACAAGGGCAUAGGGUGUUACAAUAGCUGCCAUGUUGGCUAUGAAUUGCCUGGUAUCCUUACGUGUGUAAAUGUCCCGAUAUGCCCCUCAAUCGUAAGAGACUGCAAUUGCAGAAUUCUCUAAUGUCUCUCAUUAUCCAAUCUUUUUCCUUUAACUGACAGAAUAGUGGAGAUUAAACACAUAUUUAUGUUUAAAUG